rnacentral:rRNA from 1 species
UACUAACUCUGGCGGCGUGCUUAACACAUGCAAGUCGAACGCUGAAGCUCAGCUUUUGUUGGGUGGAUGAGUGGCGAACGGGUGAGUAACACGUGAGUAACCUGCCUCCUUCUUUGGGAUAACGCCCGGAAACGGGUGCUAAUACUGGAUAUUCACUGGUCUUCGCAUGGGGGUUGGUGGAAAGGGUUUUUCUGGUGGGGGAUGGGCUCGCGGCCUAUCAGCUUGUUGGUGGGGUGAUGGCCUACCAAGGCUUUGACGGGUAGCCGGCCUGAGAGGGUGACCGGUCACAUUGGGACUGAGAUACGGCCCAGACUCCUACGGGAGGCAGCAGUGGGGAAUAUUGCACAAUGGGCGCAAGCCUGAUGCAGCGACGCCGCGUGAGGGAUGGAGGCCUUCGGGUUGUGAACCUCUUUCGCUCAUGGUCAAGCCGCAACAAUGGUUGUGGUGAGGGUAGUGGGUAAAGAAGCGCCGGCUAACUACGUG